rnacentral:lncRNA from 1 species
AGAUGGCAUCAUUCCUGUAAUUUUUGAGGAGCGCUUAAGGCAAAUGGGAACCUGGCUGAAAGUCAACGGGGAAGCUAUUUAUGAAACACAUACUUGGAGGUCUCAGAACGACACCGUCACUCCUGACGUGUGGUAGAACUACUGGGCCACGGACGGCCACUGACUUGGACAUCUUCAAAGCCAAGCGGCAUUGUGGUGGAGUUGCCCCGGCUAAGCGUUCAUCAGAUGCCCUGUAAAUGGGGAUGGACUCUGGCACUAACCAAUGUCACUUAACCUGCAGCAGACAGAUGCGUUCUACAGGAGCCUCUAACCACAGGAAACGUCAGGGUUUCCUUUUUUUGUUGUUGUUGUUGUUACACUAAAGAGACUAAAUGAUAUAAAAAUGAUAUAAAAACUGAAGCCAUUACGCG